rnacentral:rRNA from 1 species
GAUGAACGCUAGCGAUAGGCUUAACACAUGCAAGUCGAGGGGCAGCAUGAACAAAGCUUGCUUUGUUUGAUGGCGACCGGCGCACGGGUGCGUAACACGUAUGCAACUUACCCAUAAAUCGGGGAUAACCCGGAGAAAUUCGGACUAAUACCCGAUGGUAUUGAGAGAAGGCAUCUUCACUUAAUUAAAGAUUUAUCGAUUAUGGAUAGGCAUGCGCAUGAUUAGCUAGUUGGUGAGGUAACGGAUCACCAAGGCGACGAUCAUUAGGGGUUCUGAGAGGAAGCCCCCCCACACUGGUACUGAGACACGGACCAGACUCCUACGGGAGGCAGCAGUGAGGAAUAUUGGUCAAUGGACGAGAGUCUGAACCAGCCAAGUCGCGUGAAGGAAGACUGCCCUAAGGGUUGUAAACUUCUUUUGUAUGGGAAUAAAAAAUGGGACGUGUCCCAUAUUGUAUGUACCAUACGAAUAAGGAUCGGCUAACUCCGUGCCAGCAGCCGCGGUAACAC